rnacentral:misc_RNA from 1 species
UCUCCGUAGGUGAACCUGCGGAGGGAUCAUUACAGAGUUCAUGCCCUCACGGGUAGAUCUCCCACCCUGUGUUAUUAUACUUUGUUGCUUUGGCAGGCCGCCCGCGUGGGCUACCGGCUCCAGCUGGUAAGUGCCUGCCAGAGGACCCCAAACUCUGAAUAUUUUAUUGUCUGGGUACUAUAUAAUAGUUUAAAACUUUCAACAACGGAUCUCUUGGUUCUG